ACCACUGCCCACCCCCCAACCAGACCUCGCCACUUCGCGGCGCCAACCUCAUCCUACUCAACCACCAGCAUCAUCCCACACGUCCUCCAGGACAGACUGCAACGUGGGAGCCACAGAGGACCCAAGCUGUGACACGAAGACUGCAGAGCCCAGUGUGGGGUAAACAACAGAGGCCUCCCGAGACAGACUGAACCAAUUAGCAGCACACCAACUGUAGCCUAUAUGUCAAUCGGCGUUGGAGUGUCAAGCAAGAAACCAACCAGCGAGAUUGAAAUGCCAUCAAACGUCUUAGUCAAUACGAGCCUUUAUUUAGUCACGUGAAGCGAGGACAGGUAAGGUGUGACUGGAUGGGCCAUUGCAGUGUAGGUCCAUUGCGGUGUAGGUCCAUUGCGGUGUAAGUACAUUGCAGUGUAGGUCCAUUGCGGUGUAGGUCCAUUGAGGUGUAAGUACAUUGCGGUGUAGGUCCAUUGCUUGGUCCUCAGGCCCUAGGUGCAGUGCUGCAUCUCUGGUCAACUGGGAGUCUGAGAUGAAGCACUGUAGCUCGGGAGGGAGGGCGCUGCUACAGCCGGGAGGGCCGGCUGACAGGAGGGGCACUGUUUCCCUCUGCCUUAUCAUCAUGAAGAACAACAUGGACGCCGUUAUCAUGGACAUCUGCGUUUAAUAUAUUAGGGACAGAUGGGCCCCAUGACUGGUGCCACGCCUCCCUCUGUCUUCUUGGUCUGGACACAGACCACAUAUCUCCAUGAGAGAUCUCGCUGGAAAAGUUUGUAUUAACCAGUCGUUGCUGUUGUGAUUGACAUGACAUUCACCUCUUCCUCCUCCUCAGUGAAUGCACUGCAUUGCCCUGGCCUUUUCCUUGCUCCCGGGGUCCAGUUUUCCCAGGAAUCCCUUGGGCAAUCACAAGGGGGAUUCCUGGAAAUACUGUUCUUGGGGGUGGGGCUUGACUACAUAGAUCCAGGAUAGUAAUAUAAUCUGUUUAUAAUGUUCUAUGUUUCACAGAAUGUGACGUAAUUUCACGUGACAAUUGAAUGACUGGUUAAGGGCAAUUAAUAAAACAGAUGUUGCUUCGUAUUAUAAUCCAUAGCUUGUCUAGAUGCAUUCUCCUAUUUAAAUGAAUAAAAUUAUUUUUGUGGUAAUUUUACUGUCAGAAGAUCUAUGUCAUUACCUAUAUUAUAUACAUUAGCAAUUAUUAGGCAAUGUUUCCACUGUGCUCAAUAAAUGUCAGCAUUUACUGA